rnacentral:rRNA from 1 species
UGGGGAAUUUUGCGCAAUGGGCGGAAGCCUGACGCAGCAACGCCGCGUACGUGAUGACGCCCUUCGGGGUGUAAAGCGUUGUCAUCCGGGACGAAGCCUGACCGCGUAAGGGCGGGUCAGGGUGACGGUACCGGAGGAGGAAGCCCCGGCUAACUCCGUGCCAGCAGCCGCGGUAAGACGGAGGGGGCAAGCGUUGUUCGGAAUGACUGGGCGUAAAGCGCCUGUAGGCGGCAUCAUAAGGGGAUUGUGAAAGCCCUCGGCUUAACCGGGGAAGGGCAGUCCCGACUGUGACGCUCGAGUGGCGGAGGGGAAGGCGGAAUUCCUGGUGGAGCGGUGAAAUGCGUAGAGAUCAGGAAGAACGUCGGUGGCGAAGGCGGCCUUCUGGACGCACACUGACGCUGAGAGGCGAGAGCGUGGGGAGCAAACG